AGAUCUAGCGCACCGUAGCCGCUCGAGCACUGGAACGCCAUGGAUGGGAAGGCUUCUUCCUCCCCUGUCCCGAUGCCAUGAACGACGCAGCUCCACCACCAGACCAUGGAGACGGAGCUCCUUCUCCCGCAUCACUCAUGGAGCCUCCCUCUCAGCGCCCGGAGCCCUAGAGAGAAUUCAAGGCCAUGGCCGGAGAGAGGAGCUGCUCCUAGUACAGGACGCCAUGGAAGGUGCUGCUCUGAUGAGGAGAAACUGCUGUUGUAGAACGUCCUCCUCCCAUCCCCUACCCCCACACGUGGUGAGCUCCUAUGCAUAUGUGGAUAAUCAGGAACUAAUGUUUAAUUGGUUACUUCAUAAUCUGUUCCACUGUAUGCAUGAACGCUCACACAUUUUUUCCUGCCAUUUAUAUACAUUACUAUUGGACAGUGAGAAGAUUUCCAUUGUGUGCAUGAACAUGCUUUUUUUUCGUCAAUCCAUCUCUUAUCAUGCAUACAUCCUAUCAUAUAUUAUAUGAUAAAUCUUUUAGUUGCUCACUGUCUAUAUAGGUGCUCAAAUUUUUAGAUUCCAUAGAACUUCUGUUUGUAGUGAAAAGGGGGUAUAUGCAACUUUUAAUCAAUGUCUAUUUAAAUCAAUAGAAUAAAUAUUGAGUAUAUGUGUUCACUGGUGCACCAUGUCGAAUUACUUUUCCGUUUAAAAAAGUAAUUACUUCUGUAUGUUGUGAUGCAUCCCAUAGUAGUUUGCACCCAGGAACCAACCAAGGGCUGAUGCAAUAUAUGUUACCAUGUAUAUACCGCCCUUGCUGUUUAAAAAAAUAGACAUUGAGGAUACCUUUUUUUUCCCUACACCCUGCUGUGGGAUUCUUAAUAGCCUUACCUGCAUAUGAACAAACUGCAAGAGACAGAUACAAUUCCUAACAUGUGAAAGGCUGUUUUAUGACUUAUCCAUCUCGCGACCACCUUCUAUAUCUACAGGAAUCUAUCACUUCUUUCUACUUACAUGGCAGAUAUAUCUACAAGUGAAUCUACAUGUUUUUUGUAGUUCAAAUGGAGUAUCCUAUAUCAUUUUUAUUAUUAUGCAGAACUGUUUGUUCACUCACAUCAGCCCUUUGCUAUAGCUGUUGUGGAGCAAAUUAGAUGGGCGAACCAAUAGAUAAUUAGGUAGAUGUAGUUGGCCGGCAAUGGUUCAUAGGGAUAUUCCUUAUAUUUACUUGAUAUUUGAUCUUAAUAUUCACUGGACACAAUUCUCUCAUGGUUGCAAUAUUUUUUUCCUAAGUUCACUCCAAUUGUGUUGGCAUUCAUGCUUGAUUUCUUUUAAUCAGCUUACUAAUCAUACCGAGAAAAUAAAUAUAACUACUUGAGAAUAAAGGGAAAAGGAGAAUAAAGGAUGGUUGUGGUAGCAGAAUGGUAUUUUUGCUUAGGCGCAAUCAUACUUAUGUAGUAGUAAAUAACCUGUCAUGUCAUUCUUCAAGUCUGCACAUAGCACUGUUAUUUUAGGAGCAGAUUUCUCAUCCUUCAGAAACCUGAACUUGCUUAAUAGCCAAUUUAGCAGAGUAUUACCAGUUCCUUGAUGUCAUUUCUGGUAUGCAAUCAUAUGACAUGUCUCGUGUAAAUAAAUAUGGGUUGUUGUCAAUUUUUUAAUCUACAAUUGAUCUAUUGUUUUUUACAUGGUAGCUUAAUAUCCUCCUUCCUUUUCUAAUAUGCAAACUUCAAAUAUGUGAGGUGCAUAAGUGCAUGAGGUGCGGUUCACCUUAGGCUGCUCCCGCUCGUCAGCGGU